rnacentral:tRNA from 1 species
GCCGAGAUGGCGGAAUUGGUAGACGCGUCGGACUCAAAAUCCGAUUCUAGCAAUAGAGUGGGGGUUCGAUUCCCCCUUUCGGCACCA